GGAGCCCAGCUCUGCAGCCCUGUGCGCCGUAGAGAGCUGGACUUAGGCCGGCAGCAUGGCCGAGUUCAGGGUCAGGGUGUCCACCGGAGAAGCCUUCGGGGCUGGCACAUGGGACAAAGUGUCUGUCAGCAUCGUGGGGACCCGGGGAGAGAGCCCCCCACUGCCCCUGGACAAUCUCGGCAAGGAGUUCACUGCGGGCGCUGAGGAGGACUUCCAGGUGACGCUCCCGGAGGACGUAGGCCGAGUGCUGCUGCUGCGCGUGCACAAGGCGCCCCCAGUGCUGCCCCUGCUGGGGCCCCUGGCCCCGGAUGCCUGGUUCUGCCGCUGGUUCCAGCUGACACCGCCGCGGGGCGGCCACCUCCUCUUCCCCUGCUACCAGUGGCUGGAAGGGGCGGGGACCCUGGUGCUGCAGGAGGGUACAGCCAAGGUGUCCUGGGCAGACCACCACCCUGUGCUCCAGCAACAGCGCCAGGAGGAGCUUCAGGCCCGGCAGGAGAUGUACCAGUGGAAGGCUUGCAACCCAGGUUGGCCUCACUGCCUGGAUGAAAAGACAGUGGAAGACUUGGAGCUCAAUAUCAAAUACUCCACAGCCAAGAAUGCCAACUUUUAUCUACAGGCUGGCUCUGCGUGAGGAUGCCCACCCUUCCCUGCCCCUGGGCCUCAGAUGCCCUAUGACCUCUGCCUUCUGCCCUCCCCUAGUCAGUUCCCCCACCCUCAGUGAUAUGAGUCACAUAGUCCUGCCCAGGAAACAGCCUCCUUCCCACUACCAAUCCCACAGAGCAACAGCUACCUUAGGGGUAGUGACUACCUUGGGCCCGGAGGCUGGUUCAGGAUCCCAAGAGGCAUAAGGCUGGCUGACAGGGAAGGGUCUCCCAGGGCCUCCUCCCCACUCCCCACCCCUCACAUCCCCUAGCAGUUUUGCAGAGAUGAAAAUCAAGGGGUUGCUGGACCGCAAGGGGCUCUGGAGGAGUCUGAAUGAGAUGAAAAGGAUCUUCAACUUCCAGAGGACCCCAGGAGCUGAGCACGCAUUUGAGCACUGGCAGGAGGAUGCCUUCUUCGCCUCCCAGUUCCUGAAUGGUCUCAACCCUGUCCUGAUCCGCCGCUGUCACUACCUCCCAAAGAACUUCCCCGUCACUGAUGCCAUGGUGGCCUCAGUGUUGGGUCCUGGGACCAGCUUGCAGGCUGAGCUAGAGAAGGGCUCCCUGUUCUUGGUGGAUCACGGCAUCCUCUCUGGCAUCCAGACCAAUGUCAUUAAUGGGAAGCCUCAGUUCUCUGCGGCCCCAAUGACCCUGCUAUAUCAGAGCCCGGGCUGCGGGCCGCUGCUGCCUCUCGCCAUCCAGCUCAGCCAGACCCCCGGCCCAAACAGCCCCAUCUUCCUGCCCACUGAUGACAAGUGGGACUGGUUGCUGGCCAAGACCUGGGUGCGCAAUGCCGAGUUCUCCUUCCAUGAGGCCCUCACGCACCUGCUGCACUCACACCUGCUGCCUGAGGUCUUCACCCUGGCUACCCUGCGUCAGCUGCCCCACUGCCACCCUCUCUUCAAGCUGCUGAUCCCGCACACCCGAUACACCCUGCACAUCAACACACUCGCCCGGGAGCUGCUUAUCGUGCCAGGGCAGGUGGUGGACAGGUCCACAGGCAUCGGCAUUGAAGGCUUCUCUGAGUUGAUACAGAGGAACAUGAAGCAGCUGAACUAUUCUCUCCUGUGUCUGCCUGAGGAUAUCCGGACCCGAGGAGUUGAAGACAUCCCAGGCUACUACUACCGUGAUGAUGGGAUGCAGAUCUGGGGUGCAGUGGAACGCUUUGUCUCUGAAAUCAUCGGUAUCUACUACCCAAGUGAUGAGUCUGUCCAAGAUGACAGAGAGCUCCAGGCCUGGGUCAGAGAGAUCUUCUCCAAGGGCUUCCUAAACCAGGAGAGCUCAGGUAUACCUUCCUCACUGGAGACCCGGGAAGCCCUGGUGCAGUAUGUCACCAUGGUGAUAUUCACCUGUUCAGCCAAGCAUGCGGCUGUCAGUGCAGGGCAGGUGAGGAAAGGCCAGCGCCCGGGGUGGCAGGCUGGAGGUGACCCAGCUCCUCAGCCUCAUUCUGCCCUCUCGGCCUUCAGUUUGACUCCUGUGCUUGGAUGCCCAACCUGCCACCCAGCAUGCAGCUGCCACCACCCACCUCCAAAGGCCUGGCAACAUGCGAGGGCUUCAUAGCCACCCUCCCACCUGUCAAUGCCACAUGUGAUAUCAUCCUUGCUCUCUGGUUGCUGAGCAAGGAGCCUGGAGACCGAAGGCCCCUGGGCACCUAUCCGGAUGAGCACUUCACAGAGGAGGCCCCUCGGCGGAGCAUCGCCACCUUCCAGAGCCGCCUGGCCCAGAUCUCGAGGGGCAUCCAGGAGCGGAACCGGGGCCUGGUGCUGCCCUACACCUACCUAGACCCUCCCCUCAUCGAGAACAGCGUCUCCAUCUAAAUCCCAGGGGAACACAGGCCCAGAUGACAUCCCUUUGACCACAUCGCUCUAGGAUAACUGGCACCCAGAGAAAAGGACUCCCCAGAAAAAACAGGCCCCCAUGUACCUCUCCUGGGACAACCAGACUCUGUAACUCACCCCCACCACCAUACACACACACAAAAACAGAAACAAAAUCAAAACAGAGAAAGCAGAAAAUCUACCAAGAACAGAGUCUCAGGACAGAACCACUGAGUCUUUUGGAGGCUCCAAGCCUCAAAGUGCCCGCAGAGCCCACCUUGAGGGUUUUGCUAGUUGGUUUUGUUUUGCGUUUUACAGCCGUGGGGGGAAGCACAUAAUCCUGCCCCAGGGCCCACUAGCAUCCACUGAUUGGACCUUAUGGUCACCCAACUCAAGGACAGCCACCAAGAAGUGGCUGCCAAAGAGACUGGGCACAGUGGCUCAUGCCCGUAAUCCCAGCACUUUGGGAGAUGGAGGCGGGAAAAUCAUUUGAGGUCAGAAGUUCAAGGCCAGCCUGGACGACAUAGCGAGACUCCACCUCUACCAAAAAAUAAAAAUUAAAAAACAAA
rnacentral:sRNA from 1 species